rnacentral:rRNA from 1 species
AACCUAGNCGGUACUCGCGAAUGCAUCNUAGAUUAUUNAUUUGAUCAUGGCUCAGAAUCACCGCUGGCGUGCGUGCCUAACACAUGCAAGUCGAACGCGAAAGUCCCGCAAGGGAUCAGUAGAGAUGGCAAACGGGUGAGUAACGCGUGGGUGACCUGCCCUUCGAGUGGGGGAUCAACCGUUCCCGAAAGGGACGCUUAAUACCCUGCACAUUGACAUCCCUGCCUGUUCGCAAAGCUGGUGGCAUGCAUCCAAAGCCGGGGCAUCGCUCAAGAAUCGUGGCCGCAUUGCGAGAAGUGGUGCCUCAGCUGUCC